AGUAAAAAAAAGGAAAAGUUUGUUGGGGAAAGAGAAAGUGAUCCUCUGAAACUCUCAGAUGAAGAGGUUCAGCUUAUUCUCAAACUUGGAAAACUGGCCUUCGACAAUCUGCAGAAGAGCAAUAUUGAGUUUUCAGAAUAUAUGAAUGAGUAUGACAUCGAUGUCACUGAGGCCUCACUGAGGUCAGGAGUGUUUACUGAGAUCGUCAAAGAGGAUGAUCCGAUAUUUUCAGUGAAGCAGUACAGCUUUGUCCACUUGAGCUUUCAAGAGUAUCUUGCAGCUUUCUUUGUCAUCCAGACAUACGCUGACACAGGAGUGAAUGCAAUGCAAUCCAGCCACAACAAAAUUUGCACAAAACAAUCAUUAAGGGAGAAUGAUGAAGAUUCUGGCUAUCCACCGAAUGUUCCUCAGCAAGAAGCAGCAUUGCAUAACUUUUACAAAUGUGCCAUUGAUGAAGCUUUGAAAAGUGACAGUGGACAUUUGGAUCUGUUCCUUCGUUUUCUCCUUGGCCUUUCGCUGGAGUCCAGCCAGAAGCUGCUGAAGUCAUUCUCGAUGUGUGUACACAAUGGGAAGAAGAACAUUCAGCAGACUAUCCAAUACCUCAAGAGCAAGCUCAGAGAAGAGGGUGACGGUCUUUGUCCUUGAAAAGAUGCCCUAACCUCAUUCACUGUCUCAUGGAGCUCAAUGAUCACUCAGUGGCAGAGGAGAUACAAAGACAAAAACCCAUAAACAGACAGACUGAAAACAAAGAGUCAGCAGCAAACAUCUUGGUGGAUAAGCUGGAAAAGACAGACCACAGUGAACACUUGAGACCUGAAAUGAAGCGUAAAAGAUUGGACCAUGGAGGACGUUCACAAGAAAAAGCCUGUGUUUCAGAAUAGUAGAGCUCAAUAUGACAUGUACUUCAGGGUAAGAGGGUAAUUAAGCUUCCAGUGUCCUGCUAUUGAACACAGUGAAGAACGGCCCCAGGUCCUUGGACUUCCUAUCAAAUUCCGUAUUGACUAUAAAAUUCUCUUAUUGACGUAUAAAGCCCUGCAUGCUCUCUCACCGGAGUACCUGCAAGAUCUUAUUUCCCAUUAUGAACCGCCUCGCUUACU